GACGAACGCUGGCGGCGUGCUUAACACAUGCAAGUCGAACGGAAAGGCCCAGCUUGCUGGGUGCUCGAGUGGCGAACGGGUGAGUAACACGUGGGUGAUCUGCCCCUAACCUCGGGAUAAGCUUGGGAAACUGGGUCUAAUACCGGAUAGGACAAUCGUUUAGUGUCGGUUGUGGAAAGUUUUUUCGGUUAGGGAUGAGCCCGCGGCCUAUCAGCUUGUUGGUGGGGUAAUGGCCUACCAAGGCGUCGACGGGUAGCCGGCCUGAGAGGGUGGACGGCCACAUUGGGACUGAGAUACGGCCCAGACUCCUACGGGAGGCAGCAGUGGGGAAUAUUGCACAAUGGGCGCAAGCCUGAUGCAGCGACGCCGCGUGGGGGAUGACGGCCUUCGGGUUGUAAACCUCUUUCGACAGGGACGAAGCUUUGGUGACGGUACCUGUAUAAGAAGCACCGGCUAACUACGUG
rnacentral:rRNA from 1 species